AUUGAACGCUGGCGGCAGGCUUAACACAUGCAAGUCGAGCGGAGAUGAGGUGCUUGCACCUUAUCUUAGCGGCGGACGGGUGAGUAAUGCUUAGGAAUCUGCCUAUUAGUGGGGGACAACAUUCCGAAAGGAAUGCUAAUACCGCAUACACCCUACGGGGGAAAGCAGGGGAUCUUCGGACCUUGCGCUAAUAGAUGAGCCUAAGUCGGAUUAGCUAGUUGGUGGGGUAAAGGCCUACCAAGGCGACGAUCUGUAGCGGGUCUGAGAGGAUGAUCCGCCACACUGGGACUGAGACACGGCCCAGACUCCUACUGGAGGCAGCAGUGGGGAAGAUUGGACAAUGGGCGGAAGCCUGAUCCAGCCAUGCCGCGUGUGUGAAGAAGGCCUUUUGGUUGUAAAGCACUUUAAGCGAGGAGGAGGCUACCUGGAUUAAUACUCUAGGAUAGUGGACGUUACUCGCAGAAUAAGCACCGGCUAACUCUGUGCCAGCCGCCGCGGUAAAAC
rnacentral:rRNA from 1 species